ensembl:lncRNA
CUGUAAGUAAAACGUUGAUUUUGCUGAUUAUGAUACUACAAAUAAGGUGUUGAAUGACUGGGGUGUGAAUGAUGUUGGAGUUUAAAGCUGAAACUCAGAGAGGAGUGUGUUGGGAGACUGGCAUGUAGUCUGCAGUGCAAAGGUGGGCGUCUUGCCUGCUAGUCUAUUUAACAGUAAUGAAAAUGAUAUUAAAUAAAUCUCUCAGUGUGUUGAUACAGGUGGCUAUGGGGCUGGACCAACUGCCCCCACAAGCACGGCGGCCGAAGCAAAAUUAUAGUAAUGGAAACCAAACUCAGCAAGAAUCAGCAGCUGUGGAAAAGACAGCAGCUAGCAGAGAAUUAAAGGAGAAAUUAAGAGAAGUUUUAACACAUAAAAUUGCGGCCAACAGACUUGUGGAGGUUGGGAAGGCGCCUGGAGCAUCACAACAAGAAGGUGAAACAAAAACACACACAAGCAGAGAAAUGUGAGAGAGAGGCACGUGCUAGAGAAAUGCCUCGUUUGAGAAAAAACGUUAAAUUAGCCCAUGUACAAACGCACAUACACGCAAUGAAGAAACAGCUUACACCCAUGAACAUGUGAAGAUUUUCCAGCAACUUUAAAGCAGUGAAACUUAACAUACACCCGCCGUUACACAAUAAAGUUUAUCCACUACUAACAAAUAAACCCUCUGGGUUGCAGGAUAACAACUUAACUUCAAAAAAAAAAAAAAAAAUCACAACCAGUGAUAACACGACAAAUUUAGUGGUUAAUAAAAGUCAAAUUGUGACAUGUUUUCUUCUGAUUGAUUAAUACAAGUGAUUACUAAAUGAAAGAAAAUUCCAUUUUUGUGCUUUAAACAUGAUCUUAAGAAUUUUAACAUGUACCUGUGUUGUCCUGUCAGCUUGGUGGGUUAUGAGAGGAUUAUAUGGUGAAAAAAAAAAAAAAAAAAAAGGGGGAGAGAAGGCUGACACAGGGCCUGGUCCCGUUGUUUUUCCCCUCUCUGAGUAACACAGCCAAUACAACAUGAUUUUCCUGUUCGUUUGUUUUUGUUUUGUUUUGUUUUUUUUCUCUUUAUGCUUGAUUACAGGCUGCUUUGUCGGCCCGGAAAAGCCGAGGCUGACCCUGGACUCCUGCUCUCCCCUCUACCAUCUUUGCUCUCUCCUCUACCAUCUUUGAUGUGACCCUGACUAAAUGCUAAAGCAGCUGGACCCACAACAACUUGAAAAUGUCAACAGUGCUGCAGGAAAAUGAUCUCAUGCAGCAGAGACGGAGAGCGGUAAUCCAAGGCCCGUUUCACUACACGGGGAGAUUUCUGUCAGCGUGUUUUCUUUAUGAGAAGAUUGAGAAAGGCCCGGCUCCCACCACCGAUUCUGACCACCUUAUAUAAAGGAAUUAUUGAGAGCAUCCUGAGCAGCUAUAUCACUGUCUGGGUCGGGAACAGCACCAUGCCGGACAGACAAGCACUACAGAGGGUUGUGCAAUCAGCUGAGCGCACCAUCCGCUCGGUGCACCCUGACCUGCACUCAAUCUACAGCAGGCGGUGCUGGACCAAGACCAGGAAGAUGGUGAAGGACCUCAGCCAUCCCAACAACAGACUGUUCUCUCUGUUGCUGUGUACGUGACAAAUAAACAUCUGGAUUUGGAAAACGAGGCACUCGCAAAGCCACCAGCAUUGUGCCUGAUUGGACACACCCCUCUCACACACUCUUUACAUUCUUGCCAUAUGGAAAAAGACAGCUUCAGCUGACAGAGCUGUGACGAGACGCCCAUCAAGCCCAGAUGAAAAGUGAG